rnacentral:rRNA from 1 species
AAAAGAAACCAACAGGGAUUGCCCCAGUAACGGCGAGUGAAGCGGCAACAGCUCAAAUUUGAAAUCUGGCCCCCGGGUCCGAGUUGUAAUUUGUAGAGGAUGCUUUUGGCGAGGUGCCUUCCGAGUUCCCUGGAACGGGACGCCAUAGAGGGUGAGAGCCCCGUCUGGUCGGACACCGAGCCUCUGUAAAGCUCCUUCGACGAGUCGAGUAGUUUGGGAAUGCUGCUCAAAAUGGGAGGUAUAUGUCUUCUAAAGCUAAAUAUUGGCCAGAGACCGAUAGCGCACAAGUAGAGUGAUCGAAAGAUGAAAAGCACUUUGAAAAGAGGGUUAAAAAGUACGUGAAAUUGUUGAAAGGGAAGCGCCUAUGACCAGACUUGGGCCCGGUGAAUCAUCCAGCGUUCUCGCUGGUGCACUUUGCCGGGCACAGGCCAGCAUCAGUUUGGCGCGGGGGAUAAAGGCUUUGGGAAUGUGGCUCCCCCGGGAGUGUUAUAGCCCAUUGCGCAAUACCCUGCGCCGGACUGAGGUACGCGCAUUGCAAGGAUGCUGGCGUAAUGGUCAUCAGCGACCCGUCUUGAAACACGGACCAAGGAGUCGUCUUCGUAUGCGAGUGUUCGGGUGUCAAACCCCUACGCGUAAUGAAAGUGAACGCAGGUGAGAGCUUCGGCGCAUCAUCGACCGAUCCUGAUGUUCUCGGAUGGAUUUGAGUAAGAGCAUACGGGGCCGGACCCGAAAGAAGGUGAACUAUGCCUGUAUAGGGUGAAGCCAGAGGAAACUCUGGUGGAGGCUCGCAGCGGUUCUGACGUGCGAAUCGAUCGUCAAAUAUGGGCAUGGGGGCGAAAGACUAAUCGAACCUUCUAGUAGCUGGUUCG